GCCCUCUUGGCUAAGUGGUAUAGCGUGUCACAGUAUUCUGAGGCAAUUCCUCGUGCUAAUGCCAUGACAAGAUCAGGGAUAUCGAUUCCGCUAGUGGGCA